rnacentral:pre_miRNA from 1 species
UAGUAGUGUGACAUGCCCGUUUGGGAUUUACUCUGAUGAUUUAUUUAUUAAUUAAUUGAUUUUGAGUAACAGGGUGUUGCAAAUUACA